UCCAUUUUCGCUUGACUCUGAUAUUUGAAAAAAAAAGUGGUCUUGAAUGACUCGCCGGUCCUUCCCCGGCAUUUUGUCGUCAAAUUGUGAACGAUUGAACGCUGUGGAAGUGUGGUUGUGUUUUUUCGUAAUAUUAAAGGUGUAAUCGUAAGAUAUUGUGGGGCGGUACGUGUUUUUUCUUUGGUACACCUUGGCUUGGGCGGUGACCUAAUUAACAAAAUGACAUCAGACCUAUCAACCCAGUCUCAAGAGACAAAUCCGAUCUUAGCCCACGACCUACACAAGGUGCUACUCAAGAUAUUUCUGGCUAAAGGCAGUCAGCUGAGUGGAGCGUUGACGUCACAAGAAAUCAAUAAAUUAUUACGGGAAUACGCGUAUAGAGGCGGUGAUAUUAAGUACGAGAAACGUCCUUCCAACCACUAGCAAUAAGUUGGAGAAAAUUAGUCCUUAUAUGUAGAGAAUUAAAUACUAUUUAACAGAACUCUAUUCUAGUCUUAAUCCAAAGAUGAGUUCUUUUUUAAGAUUUUUUUAAAUAGUCUUGUGAUUAAUAUUUAUGAUACUUUUCAAGAUGGCGGAUACAUUUAGUAUAUUAAGUAAUAAAAUGAUCUUUGUCAUACUAGACAAUCGUCGUAGAGUCGCUCAUAUUAUGAUAGGGCAAUUGUUCAAUUCCCAAUACCUUUUCAAUUAAUAUCAUUAUUAUUCGUCACUGAAAACGGAGUAUUUAAUUAUUAUCUUCAUUUAUUCAGUAUUACAUAUAUACAGUCUAAUAUAGCCAAUGUUGAUUAUCGUCUGUUCUAUCAGAUUUUCGAAAUAGCAAGAGUUUCAAGAUUGCUAUUAAAACCUACCUAGGUCUAGGCAUCUUUUAUUCCUGCCAGACUUUUUUUGUUCGAAAUAAUAUAAGCACUAAUAUGUAAUUUAAUAUAUUUUUGUAACUUACAUAUAAUUUAAGAAAUUUUAUUUAAGUAUAAUCAAAGAAUAGAGAGUAUUAGUAAAUUUUGCAUGUCGUAUUAAAAUAUAUUAAAACCAAUAUAAUUAGAUAAUUAAUAACUUAGGUGUUCAAGUCAACGCAUAAUAGGUAAAACUAUUUUCAUUGUCAGAACUUCCUUUCAACUUUAGUAUAAAACAAAAUGUUAAUUGUAAUUAGUGUAAUGAGUUCGCUUGCUAUGAAGGGAUUAUGUGCGCAAUAUUUUUAUUAUCUUACUUUUACUUUUAUAACCUGCAAUUAUAGUAUUUACACCUAGGGUUAAGUUUAGCAAAUGUAUUUAAUUUAAAUCUUAGGUUACUUGCACAACGACUCACUAAAUAUGAUUACUGGUAAAUAUGUUUUAACCAUGGUGCUGUCUUCCUCAACUCUUAAAA